rnacentral:rRNA from 1 species
GAGUUUGAUUCUGGCUCAGGACGAACGCUGGCGGCGUGCUUAACACAUGCAAGUCGAACGAAAUUAAAAAAUUAUCAUUGAGCUCUCCGAUGAGAUGGGAGCCAAGCGUCGUGACCGCGGAGCGGGCACCACGCGUUCAACAAGUGCAACACCAAGUCGAAGGGUUGAAUGGUAAUUUUUUAAUUUAGUGGCAAACGGGUGAGUAACACGUAGACAACCUGCCGACAGGAUGGGGACAACAUUCCGAAAGGAAUGCUAAUACCGAAUGAAGUCAGAGGAGGGCAUCCUCUUCUGAUGAAAGAUGGCCUCUUUUUAUGCUAUCACCUGUUGAUGGGUCUGCGUCUGAUUAGCUGGUUGGUGAGGUAACGGCUCACCAAGGCGACGAUCAGUAGCCGGUCUGAGAGGAUGAACGGCCACAUUGGGACUGAGACACGGCCCAGACUCCUACGGGAGGCAGCAGUGGGGAAUCUUCCGCAAUGGGCGCAAGCCUGACGGAGCAACGCCGCGUGAGUGAAGAAGGUCUUCGGAUCGUAAAGCUCUGUUGACGGGGACGAACGUGCGGAGUGCGAAUAGC